ensembl:misc_RNA 7SK 7SK RNA
AGGUCAGUUAUUUUUGCCAUGGCUCCUGACAGAUUCCACUAUCUGGCUGGCUAGGCAGGUGUCCCCUUCCUCCCUCACUGCUCAAGGAUGACCUUCCCUGAAUACAGGAGGACUUGUCUUCGGUCAAGGGUAUAGGAAUUGCUGUGCUCCCCUGCUAGAACCUCCAAACAAGCUCUCAUUAGGAGGAAUCUGAUCCGUUACUCCAUGAACUGGCAUAGUUGAGCAGCCCAAAGUAGAUGAGCUGAGCCCAGGGGACACAAGAAUGACAGGUUUCUUUUGUAUGUUUGUUUG